rnacentral:rRNA from 1 species
UACGAAGGGGGCUAGCGUUGCUCGGAAUUACUGGGCGUAAAGCGCACGUAGGCGGAUUCUUAAGUCAGGCGUGAAAGCCCCGAGCUUAACUCGGGAACUGCGCUUGAUACUGUCGAGCUAGAGUGUGGAAGGGGCGAUUGGAAUUCCGUGUGUAGCGGUGAAAUGCGUAGAUAUACGGAGGAACACCAGAGGCGAAGGCGGAUCGCUGGGGCCAACACUGACGCUGGAUGCGCGAAAAGCUAGGGGGAGCAAAACGGGG